GAUGAAGAACGCAGCGAAAUGCGAUAAGUAAUGUGAAUUGCAGAAUUCAGUGAAUCAUCGAAUCUUUGAACGCACCUUGCGCCCUUUGGCCAUUCCGAAGGGCAUGCCUGUUUGAGUAUCAUGAACACCUCAACUCUUCAUGGAUUUCCAUGAUGAGCUUGGACUUUGGGGGUCUUGCCGGCCUGUGGUCGGCUCCUCUCAAAUGAAUCAGCUUACCGGUGUUUGGUGGGCAUCACAGGUGUGAUAACUAUCUACGCUUGUGGUUUUCCACCAGGAUAACCUUCAGCAGUGGAGGUUCACUGGAGCUUACAAAUGUCUCUCCUCCGUGAGGACAGCCCUUUGAAUGUUUGAUCUCAAAUCAGGUAGGACUACCCGCUGAACUUAAGCAUAUCAAUAAGCGGAGGA
rnacentral:misc_RNA from 1 species